GGGCUGGAAAAAGCAGCAGAUAGAGACACUUUUGCUGACUUUCCAAGACUGCCUAGGGAGUCAGCGGCCCGGACUAGGCAGAGAACCGAGGAUUUUGGUCCCCCUCCGUAGUAUGCAUUCCCCUGUGGUUUCACCAAGCAGCUACCCACAGUCCUCUCUGCCGUGGCUGGUGCCUGGAGGUUGAAGGGACAGAUAUAAAACUGAGAUUAGACAAAUUUCCCAUCGUUUUCCCUUGCUUGCCAGGUGACUUCGCAGCGUGCCCGGGUCAGGCUGGCCGGCUCCCACCUGCUGCAAGCGCCGCGUCGUCCUUCGCGAAGGGAAGAGCAACAUCUACCGCGUCGCGCGGAGAGCGUUUCCCGGAGCCUGCAACCUCCCGAGCUGGGUUUCGUUCCCUCCCCCUCCAGCCCAGCGCAGGAUCCCCUGGCGUAAAAACAUAACCGGUCACGCAAUGAGCACAUCAAAGCCGGGCGCUGCUGCAGCCGCGCAGAGGGGUGCUGGAGGGGGCUGAUGCCCGCUUGCCGGGCAGGAACGCGGGCGGCCGCGAGCGCCGGCGGGAAAGUGGGUCCAAGAAACCUCGCGCUUCCUCCCGGGAACGCGGCGGCACGCGGCCGACGUGGAGGAAGAGCGCAGCGCAGAGGAAGAGCACGCUGCUGCGGCCGUGCCUCCCCGAGAGCUCGGCCACGGUGCCCGGCGCUGGCCGGGGCUGGUGCCGGGAGAAGCACCUCGUCUGGGCAGCAGAGGUGGAGGAGCAGCUCCCGAGCUCCGGAGCUGACAAACCGGAAAAUAAAUCUGGGAACAAACUGUGUCAUGACAGGCGGACACGAAGAAUAUGCUGGGGUGGCUGCCUUGGUCUGCGGCUCCGGGAGGCCCUCGAAGCGGCCGGGGACCUGCAGCGCUGGGGACAGCACGAGCCGCAGCACGCUCACGGCAUCCGUGCGCUCACCGGCCCGCUGAGCCUGUGCGGUUGGGUCCCUUCAGAUACCACCGUGGUUUGGACUUGCUGCCAGCAAUGAUGCACUCGGUUACCCUUGCUUUAUAGGAAGAAAGUAAGGAAAAGGGAGCAAAAAACAAAUUAGCAUUUUUUUUUCCAAAUGAAGAACAAAAUAAUUCCAAUUGAGACUGGGAGGGGUGGGAUCGCGGCCUCAUCCAUCUAUUUCAGCCACUUUGAGAUUAGAUGUAUGCUGGCACAGAGCUGGAAGCACUCGUACCCUCCGCUGCUGCGGAUCCCUGUCGCUGCUGCUGCCCAUCCGCGGCUCGGCCAGCUCCUACUAUCUUGUUUUAAUUACGCUUCCUGGCCGGGGGGCGGUUUGCAACAAUGGUUCAAAAACAGGCGCUGGAAAGAGCGACUCACUUGCUGAGCCAUUGAGGAUGUUGUUUAUAUGUUAGAUCCUGUUUUCUUCCUCGAGCAAAGUGCUUCUCCUCCCAGGUGCAUCUCCCACGGCUUUCCCCGCCACGCCAAAGCGCGCGGGAGCUUCCUGAGGCCUCUGUGAACGGGGAGCGGGGCGAGAGCCGGCGGGGCUGCGGCGUGCCGGGCAAAGGCUAUCUGCCCCCCGCCUCGCGGCUCCCAGGCGUCUCAAGGGCUGCCGCUGCCCCGAGAGGUCGGCCGGUUUGUGCCUCCGCUCACAUCGCCCUGAGCUCUCCCAGCGCCGAAGCAGCGCUGGCGGGGAGCUGCUGCUGCAGCAAGGGGGGCCCUGGGCAAACGUCCUGGGCUGGCUGAAACUGCAGCGUGAUGAAUGAAGCCCUCUCCGUGUCGGUGGUGGUGAAUUCAAGAUGCGAUUUAAA